rnacentral:rRNA from 1 species
AUUGAACGCUGGCGGCAUGCUUUACACAUGCAAGUCGAACGGCAGCGCGGGCUUCGGCCUGGCGGCGAGUGGCGAACGGGUGAGUAAUACAUCGGAACGUGCCCAGUAGUGGGGGAUAGCUCGGCGAAAGCCGGAUUAAUACCGCAUACGACCUGAGGGUGAAAGCGGGGGAUCUUCGGACCUCGCGCUCUUGGAGCGGCCGAUGGCAGAUUAGCUAGUUGGUUGGGUAAAUGCCUACCAAGGCGACGAUCUGUAGCUGGUCUGUGAGGACGACCAGCCACAUUGGAACUGAGCCACGGCCCAGACUCCUACGGGAGGCAGCAGUGGGGAAUUUUGGACAAAGGGCGAAAGCCUGAUCCAGCAAUGCCGCGUGUGUGAUGAAGGCCUUCGGGUCGUAAAGCACUUUUGGCGGGAACGAAAAGGACUGUGCCAAUACCACGGUUCGAUGACGGUACCCGCAGAAUAAGCACCGGCUAACUACGUG